rnacentral:rRNA from 1 species
UACGUAGGGUGCGAGCGUUGUCCGGAAUUAUUGGGCGUAAAGAGCUCGUAGGCGGUGUGUUACGUCGGCCGUGAAAACCUGGGGCUUAACUCUGGGCGUGCGGUCGAUACGGGCAUCACUAGAGUUCGGCAGGGGAGACUGGAAUUCCUGGUGUAGCGGUGAAAUGCGCAGAUAUCAGGAGGAACACCGGUGGCGAAGGCGGGUCUCUGGGCCAAAACUGACGCUGAGGAGCGAAAGCGUGGGGAGCGAACAGG